rnacentral:lncRNA from 1 species
AUGGUGAUGAUGGUGAUGGUGAUGCUGCUCCUGACCUUUGCCUUGCAGGUUCCCUCCGGCGGGGCCCCGGGCCAACCCGCGGACAUCUUCAGCCCCGCGCCUCCAUCUCCCCAGCACGCUCAGCUCCCUGCAGCCCCAAGUCCCACGGCUUCUCCCCACCGCCCUGUGACUCCUCCGUCCCCAAGAACUGCCCUGCCUGAGAGACGGGAGCUCACUAGGACGUUUCCCCCCGGGGAGGAGGUGGCGCCUACGGGUGACCCCAACCCACAUCCCACCAGCCUGGCUCAGCGCCGCUUCUCGGAGGGCAUCUUCCGGCCUCCCUGCCAGGACCAGGAGAAGCUGGGGGGCUCGCUGGCUGCCCUGCCCCAGGCCCCGGGUGGCCAGUCGGCCCUGGAUUGUCCCUUCGGGAGUGGGACAGAGUCCAACUGGAGCCUGUCCCAGUCGUUCGAGUGGACCUUCCCCGUGCGCCCCUCGGGUCUGGGCGUGAGGCGCCUGGACUCCCCGCCGCCCUCCCCCAUCACGGAAGCCAGUGAGGCCGCGGAGGCUGGGCACUGUGCUGGGGCCCCACCUGGGGACGCAGGGAGGCCUGUUUCCUGGGCCCAGGCCGAAGACCCAGGCGUCUCCCCAUCCCCUGAGCCCCCCUCCACGUUGGAGGGCGCACCCCUGCUGCAGGCUGAGGAGAGGGCGGAGGACUGGCAGGGGCCAGGACACGAGGCCCCCCUGCCCCCCGACACCAGAGGGGCUGCCCUGUCCCUGCUGGAGCCCGCCCUGGGCCAGCAGCAGCCAGCGCCCCCCGACCAGCCCUGUGUCCUCUUCGCCAGCGGCCCCAGCCCUGGGCAGGCGCUGCCCGUGGAGGAGGCGGCCGUGACCCUGGCCCGGGCCGAGGCCCAGGACUGGUGUGCAGCCUCCCCCCAGCCUGAGGGUCCCGGAGGCGGCUCUCGCUGGCUGGAUGAGCUCUUGGCCUCCCCGCCCCCGAUGCAGGACACUGAGUCAACGACUGCCCACCCAGAGGGACUCCUAGGCUGGUCCCAGAAGGAUCUGCAGAGUGAAUUUGGGAUCGCAGCAGACCUGCACCCCAGCAGCCCCCGGCCUCCCGGCUGGCCCCACGUUGCUUCUCAGGACUGUGGCCAUGGGGCUGCCAGCCCAAGAGGAGCCCUGGGCCCAGGGCACAGGGACUGGGCCAGGGAGUGUGGCUCCGGAGCCGGGGAAGGGGGCGGAAGGGAGUGGGCUGACAUCAGCAGCAGCAAAGCCCCGAGGGACACGUGUGCCCCGGAGCAGCUCAUGGCCCACAGUGGCUGGGCGGUUAGACAGCCAGCCCCACUCGGCACCCUGGGGUGGGAGGCCGCUGCCCAGGACCCAGAGCCGGGGCGGAGGGACUCCGGGGACAGGUUCUCCAGUCUUCAGGCCGAACUGCAGGACCAGGAAUUUGGGAAGAGAGACUCCCGGGACAUGCUGUCCAGCCGGGUUGUGGAACUCCAGGAGCAGGAAUUGGGGAAGAGGGAUUCUUGGGACACGUUCCCCAGCCUCCAUGCGGAUUUCCAGGGCCAGGAGUUUGGGAAGAGGGACUCCCUGGGCCCGCACAGCAGCCAGGAGCCCAGCCUUCAGGACUGGGAGUUUGCGGCGGGAGGUUGCCUGGGCAGCAGUGCCCGCCAGCCUGAGGAGGAGCCAGCCCGGGAGUCGGGGAGUGAGGCGCCCUGCAGCUACAGCAGCCAGGAUGCCGAGGCGCAGGACCGGGAGUUUGAGAAAAGGGACUCUUUGCUCGGAGUGCUCAGCCGUCCAGCUGAAGUGCCCAGGGCCCAGGUGUUGAGGCAGAGCCCUUGGAUGCAGGACCACGGCGAUGGCCCCAGAGAGCAGGACAGCACCUCCGAUGUGGGAGCCCCAAGCUCUGGCCUCAGCCCCCAGGUGGCUCAGCGGCCGCAAGGGGAGUUUGAGAAGGCGCUGUGUGGCCAGGACGGCGGGGCCAAGGGCCCACCAGAGGAGCUGCAGGGCUGGCAGGGCAGUGGCACCAGCUGGGAGGUGGCAGGGGCUCUGGGCCCUGGGGAGGGCGGCCUUGGGGGUGGGGACACUGGGCAGCGGGGCUGGGCGGCGGAGCUGAGCCUGGGUGUUGCGCCGCAGCCAGAGGAUGCUCUUAGCCCAGGGCCCCGGGACUGGGGAGAGGACCUGGUCCCGGACCCCGCCCUGAGGAGCACACAGUUCGGCAUCAUCGGUGAUGACCGAGCGAGCGGUGCUGGCCCAAGUCCCCCCAGCACGGCGGGAGGUGGCCGCUUCGUGUCCCCCGGGGAGAUGGUGUCCAGGCCCGGGGACUGGGCUGACCAGCUGGGCCUCAGGAACUUGGACGUGUCCCACUGUGGGGCCCCUGGGGACUUGGCUAAGGCCAGAGAGGUGGCCAUCGGGCAGGUGGGCUGGCUGGAUGGGGGCCUGGAAGUGCAAGGGUCGGGGGCCACUGGUGCAAGGGAGGAGGACUGGACUGUGGAGGUUGGGGUGCCAAGCAUCCACCUGGCCGGGGACGGGGCAGCGGGCAGCCUCGGCCAGGCCAGGGACAGUGGCAUGGGGCAGGCAGACUGGUCGGGCCUGGAGGCUGGCGAGUUCCUCAGAUGCAGGGAGCGCGGUGUGGGGCAGGCAGCCUGGAGCCCCGACCUGGUGCUCGGGGGCGUGGUCUCCAGGGAUCCCAGAGAGCUGGGGGUGCGCCCAGGGAGCUGGGGUGAUGACCUGGGCCUGAGGAACUUGGAGGUGCCCUGUGACCUGGACUCGGGGGGUGCCCGCGGCUGUGGUGUGGGCCGGGACCGGGGCAGGGGGCUGUCAGGGCCCCCAAGUGGAGCCAGGGAGCAUGGGGCAGGGGAGGCGGGCCCCAGCCUGGAGCGAGACUUCAGGAGCAGCAGGUGCUCAUCCCCCCGCUUGGAGGCCAGAGAGUCCAGAGAGUCGGGGGUCAGAGAGCCCCAGGGUGCAGACGGCUGUGGGUCUUCCCCGGAGGCCCCCUCUGAGGACGCCGGACCAGAGACGGCAGGAGCCACCGCCCUUGCAGCCAGGUAAGGGAGCCCCAUCCAGGCCGGUUCGGAGUCUUUCCCUUUGGGGCUUGUUUUGUUCUGCUUCUUAAAUUGUGUUGAGGUAGCACGCACACAGGCAGAUUCUGCUUUUGAAGUGUGAAUGAGUUCAGGGCAUUUCCUGUUGCCCCAUGUGAUUCAGGCUUUCUCCGUGACCUGGGGCCUCGGCUGUGCGGGAAGUGGAGUCUUCCAGACUUGCAUGGUUUCCGGUGGGCUCUGCUUCGGUACUGACCGAAGUUGCAGGUGUCCCCUGGGCCAGGUUACAGGGAGGGGGACCUUGUGUCUCCCCGGCCUGGUGUGCUGUGGCCCUGGGCUUCUGAGGUUGGGAGUGGGGCUGUCCCAGAGCUCCCAGGGGCAGCAGCUCUGGAACCUGGCUCUGGCCAGGACCUGGGAUCCUGCCCAGUGCUGGAGGAUGGCUGGUCCAGGAGCAGGCUGGUCCUCAGUGAGAUCCAAAGCGUCUCCCGAUGGACGCUCUUGGCCUCCUGGAGAGGGUGUGAAAAGGCAGCUCCUCUGUUUGGCUAGCAUUUUCGCCCACGGAGGCCCGAGUGGGAAGGUGGCAGCUCCCAGCCCGGGUGGAGCUGGGGCCCUGGAGGGGGCAGGUGUUUGCACUGAGGGGGGCAGAUGGGAGUGGGAGGAGGUGGGAGCUGGCCCCAGGCGGCAGAGGCAGGGCGUGUGCGGCAUUUGAGAGGGAGGGAGGCGGAGGGGCUCCAGGAGCACGAGGCGAGAGCUGUGUGGAGGGCAGGAGCCCGGCAUCAGCGCGGACUCGGUGUGGCCGCCUGGAUCUCGAGUUCCUCCUUGAUCUGCAGUUGCCCUGGUAGGGGGAUGGAUCCGCUCUGGGGCAGAGGCAGCAGAGCGCCCCGUUUGUUUCUGUCCGGCUGCAGGCCUGCAGCACCCACCUGACCUUGCAGAGGUCCCUGGGUGGUGGUGGUGGGGGCGGGCUCCGGUCGGGGCUGUGGUUGUUGAUGUGCGAGCCCAGGUGCAGCCAGUGAUGUCGGGCCUCAAGGUUCAGGCCGGGAGGAAGCNNNNNNNNNNNNNNNNNNNNNNNNNNNNNNNNNNNNNNNNNNNNNNNNNNNNNNNNNNNNNNNNNNNNNNNNNNNNNNNNNNNNGAGCAGGGCGGCCGAGCGGGAGGCUCUCAUCCCCGUGCGUGCGUGCGUGCGUGCGGGAGCCCUCACACUGAGUCACGCACUUCCCAGGCAGAUCUGUGGGAGCCGGGCAGCCACGCUAUGGAAAGUUCCUCAGAGCAGGAAGUCCUGCGAUGAGCUCAGAGGCUGGCUCCUGGCCAGCCGUGCGCUGGGCCCGACUCCAGCGCCUCUGAUCCUGGGCAGCAUACUCUCCCAGCGCCCCGACCUUCUGUGAGUUAGGUGGGGGGUCCUUUGGUCCCCCCCCACCAGCAUUUCUGUGGAGACUAAGGGUGAAUAUACGCAGGGAGACAGCUGCAGGCCUGUCUGGCAAGUGGUGAUCACCGAAAACAUGUUAGUCACAUGUGCUAGGGUCUGCUUUGAAGUUCAGAGGAGGUGUCCAUAAAGGGGCCCCUCAGGGCUUUUUUUUGUUUUCUUUUUCCUCCCUCUCUGUUUUUCUAGACAGGGUCUUGCUGUGUGGUUCAGGCUGGCCUGUAACUCUCACUCCUGCCUCAGCCUCCUGAGUUUUGGGAGUGCAGGUGUGCACCCCCAUGCCCGGCUCCCUGGGGACAUUUUUCUUGCUGCCCUCAUGUAGGCAGAGGUAUCCUUGAUGCUAACCGUUUCCUGACACAGCGGAGCCCAGACUGGUACACGAGGGUGCAGUCGUGAGAGCCUGGUCCCCUCUGGCCCUUGAGCCGGCCCCUCCUCCCUCUGGCCUGCUGCUCAUCCCCUGCACCUCCCCUUGGUCCAGCCGUGCCGAGGUGUUGGAGCCUUUGUGGGGUCAAGAACACCCUCAGAUCAGGGAGCCCUGCUCUCAUUUCGUUGGUGGGGAAACUGAGGCCCCAGGCCCCGAGCUUCUGAUCACAGCUCCUUUCUGGCCCCGGCCCCUGCAGCUGCUCUCAGCUGUCGCCCGGGUGGCGAUCACCGAUCACCCGGAGCCACAGCUUUGCAGAUCCGGUGUGGGCGCAGGGGUGGGGCUGCAUGGUGCCGGUGUGGACCUCGAGGAGGACUCGUCCUCACGGUGCUGGGUGCUGGUGCUGCUCUGUGCUGGGCACAGGUUUCCUCCGAAAGUCCCUGUUUGGGGGAGGGACACGCUCGGGUGGACCCGAGAGCAGCCCUCCAGGAGGCAGGAAGUGGGCAGCUGCGGUGGGUGAGGCUGGUCGGGGCCCAGCACUGCACCUCUGCUGACCUCUGCCCGCCCCANNNNNNNNNNNNNNNNNNNNNNNNNNNNNNNNNNNNNNNNNNNNNNNNNNNNNNNNNNNNNNNNNNNNNNNNNNNNNNNNNNNNNNNNNNNNNNNNNNNNNNNNNNNNNNNNNNNNNNNNNCUGACUCACCUGGCUUCCGGGGGGUCAAGGAGGGGCACUCAGGCCGGGCAGCUCGUGCUGUGGGAGGGCCAGGGGCUGGCGAGCGUACAUUGUGUUGCAGCUGACAGAUCAGUGCGUGGGGAGCGAGGCCUGCGUACUGGGGACGCCCAGGUACCUGGCCGCAGAGUGGCCACUGUGCUGUCCAGGAGGGGAGGAGGCGGCCUGGGGCGUCCCCGCAGGCUCAGGAAGAGGGGAAGCUCCCAGGCCUGGACCGGCGUGCAGCAGGAUGCCGGUGUGUUCCAGCCCCGCUCCCCGGCUGCGCUGCAGUCCUGAGAGGCCGGGGGAGAAAGCUGUGGUGUUGCCCAGCACUUGGGAGCUGAGGCAGAGGAUCAUCACAAGUUCAAGGCCAGCCUGAACUGCGUGGUGAAACCCUGUCUCAAAAGUCAAAAAAAAAGAAAAGAAAAGAAAGGUCGGGCGUUGGAGCUGGGCCCGGAAGUGAUACAAGUGGGCCAGGCGGAGGGCCGCGGCCUGGCUCCUCCCUGGGACUGCCACACCAGCAGGUGCCGGGAGCAGGGCCGUGGAGGGGGCUGGCUUCAGAGAAGCUGCCCGGUGCCCGAUGGCUCACAGCCUCACCCGCAACCCUUCGAGACCCUGAGGGGCCUGGGGUGCAGGCGGAGCGGCCCUCGUGCUGGGCUCGAGUGGGGCCCUCUGGGCACCGAUGCACGGAGGUGUCAGAGUCCCCUCCUGCGGUGCGCACCGGGGCAGAUUUCUUAUUGUGCGGUCUGGACUCACGAUGACUCCAUGUGCACCCACUCGUCUCCAAAAAUCUGAGACCCAGCUGAGACCGCCCUGGCCCAGGCACAAGGGAGGAGUCCCCUCCUGCGGUGCGCACCGGGGCAGAUUUCUUAUUGUGCGGUCUGGACUCACGAUGACUCCAUGUGCACCCACUCGUCUCCAAAAAUCUGAGACCCAGCUGAGACCGCCCUGGCCCAGGCACAAGGGAGGGAGGAUGCCGGACGGUGGGGACAGGCCUCGCGGAUGAUGGCUCUGCUCUGUCUCUCACAGCCCCGGCCAGCGUCCAGCCUGCACCCCGCCCCCUGGCACCCAAGGCCUGCCAGAGGGGACGCUGCUGACCAGCAGUGGCAAGGCGGAGGCUGCCAGCGAGUCCCUGGCCUCGGGGCUCAGCAUCCUGUU